GGGGGUGUAGCUCAGUGGUAGAGCAUCUGCCUUUUAAGCAGGUGGCCGAUGGUUCGAUCCCAUCCACCCUCA
rnacentral:tRNA from 2 species